ACUAUGACACGCUGCCCUGCCCAGCCAGAGAUUAUGUAAUAGGUCCAGCUAUGUGCGCUUACUGUCAGUAAGGCAUUGCCCUUUCUGAUAGUUCUGAUGUUCAGUUGGAAAUCUCUGUUGAGAGCAGAAGAAAUCUCAAUUGGGAAGAGAAGGGGACGUUAUGAUGGAAGACGUUGGACAGAAUCCACUGGCUGAUGUGUACCAGACGAUAGAAUUACCAGCACUAGAAGCCGUAAAACAGAACCUCGAUUGCCUGAAUUCAGACCUUGAAAAGGACCUGCAGAAACUGGAUAUGGAGAAUCAGGUUCUCCUUAGAAAGAUUAAAGAGAAAGAAGAAACUAUUCCAAGGAAAAAAGUAAUGCAAUCCUAAGCAGGAAUGUGGUGGAGAUUCAGAAAAAGAUUUCAGGGUUAUUUACAAAUAUUGGCCUUGAAGAAGAAACCACAAAGCAAAUCCUGGAGGAAAUGAAGGCAAGACUACAGAAGUCAACAGAGUCCUGUGCAAAGCAAGA
rnacentral:sRNA from 1 species